rnacentral:tRNA from 1 species
GAAAAAAAAAACAAAAAAAUCAAGCCACCUAGGGGACUCGAACCCCUGACCUUAAGAUUAAAAGUCUCACGCUCUACCAACUGAGCUAAGGAGGCCACGGCG